ensembl:lncRNA
GUAAGUAAGUUAGAAAGAAAGAAAGUAUAGGUAAGUAGUAGAAGAAAAGUAAGUAAGUAAGUUAGAAGAAAGAAGAAAGAAAGAAAGAAAGAAAGAAGUAUGUAAGGUAAGUAAGUUAGAAAGAAAGAAAGAAAGAAGAAAGUAUGUAAGGUAAGUUAGAAAGAAAGAAAGUAUGUAAGGUAAGUAAGUUAGAAGAAAGAAAGAAAGAAAGAAAGAAAGAAAGAAAGUAUGUAAGGUAAGUAAGUUAGAAAGAAAGAAAGUAUGUAAGGUAAGUAAGUUAGAAAGAAAGAAAGAAAGAAAGAAAAAGUAUGUUAAGGUAAGUAAGUUAGAAAGAAAGAAAUUAAGUAAGGUAAGUAAGUUAGAAGAAAGAAGUAAGUAAGUAAGUAAGGUAAGUAAGUAGGCAAGUUAAAAAGUAAGUAAGUAAGUAAGGGAAGUACGUUAGAAAGAAGUAUGUAAGUAAGGUAAUUAAGUUAGAAAGAAAGAAAGUAAGUAAGGUAAGUAAGUUAGAAAGAAAGAAAGUAAGUAAGGUAAGUAAGUUAGAAAGAAAGAAAGAAAGUAAGGUAAGUAAGUUAGAAAGAAAGUAAGUAAGUAAGGUAAGUAAGUUAGAAAGAGAAAGAAAGUAAGAAAGUAAGUAAGG